rnacentral:rRNA from 1 species
GAUGAACGCUAGCGGCAGGCUUAACACAUGCAAGUCGAGGGGCAGCACGGGUAGCAAUAUCUGGUGGCGACCGGCGCAAGGGUGCGUAACGCGUGAGCAACAUGCCCGUAUCAGGGGAAUAAUCCAGGGAAACUUGGUCUAAUACCCCAUAGCAAUCGGAAGAGGCAUCUUUUUCGAUUUAAAGCUUCGGUGGAUACGGAUUGGCUCGCGUGACAUUAGUUAGAUGGUAAGGUAACGGCUUACCAUGACUAUGAUGUCUAGGGGUUCUGAGAGGAAGGUCCCCCACACUGGAACUGAGACACGGUCCAGACUCCUACGGGAGGCUG